rnacentral:lncRNA from 1 species
UUAAUAAAUGGUAAGAUUAUAUGUGUACAAAAGGAUUGCUGUAAACUAAAUGUAUGAUUUAUCUUGUAAAUGUUUGGCAUGCAUAUACUAUUCAUGUAUAUCAGAGUCAUAUAAAAAUGUCUUGGCUGAAAAGGGAGUCACAUGGAGGGAGUUUAAGAAUCUGCUAAAGAUGAAAAGUAUCUUGUCAUAAAUUCAUAAGGGUAAUAAUAAGCAUCUUUGAAAUGACAUUUCCUCAAAACUUUAUAUAUUUAUCUUUAGUCAAUAGUCAAGUUUAUUUUAAUUAACUAUUAUAGUAACAAAGCUAGAGAAUUUACUAGAGGCCACAAACAGUGAAACUUUAUUUCAUACAUACAGUAUAAUACAAAUGAACAUAUUAAUAAAACUUACUCACUUACUAACAGUUUAAGUUCUAUGACAUCAUUCUUAUGACUUUCCUAAGAAGAUUGCAGAAACCAGGUCCUUUGGCUAUGGUUAUUACCCAUUAUCUAAAUGCCACAUACUGGGUAAUUAUUGAUAAAUUUUUAUUUCAUAGCAUAGUCAAUACAUUCUCAUCUCUUUAAACUAGUACCUAUUGUGAACUGCAAAAAAGAAAUACUGAGUAUUUAUAGCUGUUUUGUUAGAUGUGAGUUUCACUUCAAGGAAAUGGGAUGAGACCAUCUUUAUAUAGGUCUCAGCUCUUAAGAAAAAUGUAUUUUAAGAAAUCAAAUGUUUAAAAAUCCUUGUUAACUAGGAAGGCCAGGAAAUCUACAUUUUAAUUUUGGACUUAAAGUAAGUUCUUUAGGGUCUUAUUUGAAUAUAGACAGACGUUGGUUAGCAAGGGAUGAUGUUGUUAGGUUCUUCAAAAAAUGCACAGUAGGUCAUGAAUGGCCUGCUGACAGAACACCUUUAUAUGCCAGUUACUAGAGGAACUGUGAAAGCAUUCAUAACAUACAAACUUUCAAUCUUAGUAAACUAGAAUCAAUACACUGACGUUUAUAGUUAAAUUCCUAUAAAACGAAUUUUACAGAAACUUCCUAUGUUGUAUAUAAAAGCAGAUGUUUUUAGUGUUAAGUUGUAUUCUAGUUUCAUUGUGAAUUGCUUUUAAAAAAAUGCUGUAGAUUGAACCAGGGUCUUGUGCAUGUUAGGCAAACAUUCUACCAUUGAUCUAUACUUGCUAGCCAUUGUUUAUUUUUAACUCAUUAUUGGCAUCUAAUUAAAAUAAGCUUACUUUGAUAUUAUAGACGAAAUCUGAAAGUACUUAGGUUAGUUACUGAAAAUGUAUAUAGUUAGUUGCAUGAAAGAUGGUUGGUUGGAUUUUCAUGCCACUUUAAGGAUUUUUAUUUGGAUGCAAAGGAAACAUUUUUAACAUUCAUUGUGACAUUGUUUUAACCUAGUAUAAAAUAUUAAAAAUGGUUGCUUAGUGCUCAAGGGAAUUAUUAUUAUUUUUUUAGUUAAGCUAUUGUUCUAAUAAUAAGCCUCUGUAAUAUAACUAAUUCACACCAAAUUUUGAGUAAAAUAUUUUUGGAU